rnacentral:rRNA from 1 species
UUUGUUCCGCGGGACACUCCGGAGCGGUCAAACAAUAAAAUCGCCGCUCCCAUAGCGUAUAUAGAUGUUGUUGAAGAUUAAAAGCGGUGUAGUUUCGUCUUGGGGUCCCCUGACCUUUCUUCCUGACAAAAGGAAACCAUUCCGGCCGGGCCUUUCCCUCUGGGGAACCCUAUGCCCUUCACAGGGUUUUCCGGGGAAACAGGACUUUUACUGUGAAAAAAUUAGAGUGUUCCAAGCAGGCCUGCGCUCGAAUACAUCAGCAUGGAAUAAUCGAAUGGGACGUGCGGUUAUUUCAUGUUGGUUUAUUGGACCACCGUAAUGCUUGAUACGGACAGUUGGGGGCAUCAGUAUUCAAUUGUCAGAGGUGAAAUUCUUGGAUUGAGCGAAGACUACCCCACUGCAAAAGCAUUUGCCAAGGAUGUUUUAAUUAAUCAGGAAGGUUUUUUCCGAUCGAAGACGAUCAGAUACCGUCGUAGUCUUAACCAUAAAGCAUCUACUAUAGAUCUACGGAUCAUCCGUAGCUCGU